UCCUACGGGAAGCAGCAGUAGGGAAUCUUCCACAAUGGACGAAAGUCUGAUGGAGCAAUACCAUGUGAACGAUGAAGGCCUUUUUGGUUGUAAAGUUCUUUUACGAGGGAUAAUUAUGAUAGUACUUCGUGAAUAAGUGACAGCAAACUAUGUGCCAGCAGCUGCGGUAAUACAUAGGUCGCGAGCAUUAUUCGGAUUUAUUGGGCGUAAAGCAAGCGCAGGCGGAUGUGUAAGUUCUGUGUUAAAUGCAGCUACUCAAUAGUUGUAUGCACCGAAUACUACAUGUCUAGAUUGUGGUAGGGAGUUUCGGAAUUAAGCAUGGAGCGGUGGAAUGUGUAGAUAUGCUUAAGAACACCAGAGGCGAAGGCGGAAACUUAGGCCAUAAAUGACGCUUAGGCUUGAAAGUGUGGGGAGCAAAUGGGAUUAGAUACCCCAGUAGUCCACACCGUAAACGAUGGGUAUUAGAUAUUAGGGCUUUAGCUUUAGUGUUGUAGCUUACGCGUGAAAUACACCGCCUGGGUAGUACAUACGCAAAUAUGAAACUCAAAGGAAUUGACGGGGACCUGAACAAUG
rnacentral:rRNA from 1 species